rnacentral:tRNA from 1 species
CAGAGCGUAGUUCAGAUGGUUAGAAUUCCAGGCUGGGGGUCUGGAGGUCGUGAGUUCGAGUCUCACCGCUCUGA